UCUCGGUUUAGACAAAGUUUAUUUUAAAAAUUACUUCGCCAAUGAACUCGUAUAAGAUGAGUCGUUUGUUAAGCUAUUUAAAGCACUUGUACUCGUGUUUUAUCACAUAUAAAACACUCCGCUACGCGUAGUGUUUUAUAUGUGAUAAAACACUCCUAUAUACGCGUGCUUUAAAUAGUACUUAAGAAACGACUCAUCUUACAUGAGUUCAUUGGCGAAGUAAUUUUUAAAAUAAACUUUGUCUAAACCGA